rnacentral:lncRNA from 1 species
CUAGAAAAUGAUUUAAAUGUGAGAAUUACAAUAUCUGAUUUAUUAUUCACAGCAUAAUUUUUUAUUAAAUAAACUUUCAAUCCCAUUAUCAUUUUUAAACUACUUAGCUCCAAUCAAAAUGAAAAGGCCCAUUUCUUCAUCUUUAUUGAUGUCUUUCACGUUUCAGUGCCCUGGAAAGAGACUUUCUCUACUUUUAAAUGAAGAAUUCUGGGUUGCUCAUUAUAUCUGAAAGAUGGAUGUAAUGGAAAUGAGUGAUGGAACAGCUCUACAACAGCAACUCUGUGCUUCACUGUGGUUUGCUGCCCUGGAAUAAUAUCUGCUACUUUUGUCUUCACCAAAAUCAUGUGGUUCCCUCACCAGUGUCAUUUACUCGCCCAAACUUUAUCUUAGUGGUGGAGGUGGAUUAGUCCCCUGAACCUUGAGAACAUGUUUUUUUCUUAUGCAUCAUAAUUGGGAAGUUUUUCUUCAAAAUAUCACUAGGCUGAAAAUGAAGUUCUUUAAAAGACUUAUAGAAAGGUAGCGAAAAGAUGUUUUCUUUUUAAUGGAUGUCAAUGGAAAUGCAGUAUAUAUAGUAGGUCCUGAGAAGACUUAACAGAUAUGUGACAUGAAAAUAUGUUUCCUCUCAAAUCCAUGCUUGCCAGAACUUUAUUUUUAAAUAGCAGAAGCCUUGCAAGGAAAUGUGAAAGGCUGGUACUAUUAAAAAGGUCUGAGUUAUUAAAAAAAAUACAUAUGCAUUCCUACAUGAGACAUAUACCUUAAAGAAGGACUGCCUUCUAACGCAGAUUUUGUUUUUGUUUUUUUACUUGGCAUAACAGAGAAGUCAACGCGCUAAUCAAUAAGUGCCAUCUAUUUUUGAUUGACCUUAAUUUUCUGAAUGACUGCUUUUCUUCAAAUAUUUUAAGUCAUGACUAAAUUUCAUUUAAUAAGAAAUGUUUAGGUUAGUUUGUAAACAAGAAAUCAGAUAUUAUGAAUCCAAACCUGGAAUUACAUUUCAAUAAUGCUUAAUUUAUUUCAUAUUUUAGCCAACUGAUUUGUAAUUGUAUUAAGGCUCCCAGGAUAAACUCCAUGGUUAAUUUGGCCCUUUAAAGGUCAACAACAUAUAAGGGCAUAUGUACUUUAAUUCUACUUUAUUCUGAUAUUUCAUAAAACAAUAAUGUAUUAGUCUGUUCUCAUGCUGCUGAUAAAGAUAUACCCAAGACUGAGUAAUUUAUAAAGGAAAGAGAUUAAUUGACUCACAGUUCCACAUGGCUGGGGAGGCCUCACAAUCAUGGAGGAAGGCAACGAGGAGCAAAGUGAUGUCUUACAUGUAGGCAGGCAAGAGAGCUCAUGUGCUGGGGAACUCCGCUUUAUAAAGCCAUCAGAAAUUGUGAGACUUAUUCACUAUUAUGAGAACAGCACUGAAACGACCACACCCAUGAUUCAGUUACCUCCCACUGGGUACCUCCAACGACGUGUGGGAAUUAUGGGAGAUACAAUUCAAGAUUUGGGUGAGGACACAGCCAAAUCAUAUCAAAUGGCAUGAGAUUUAUUGUAAAGAUGCUCUAGUCUGAGGAAUCAAAAAAGCAUAUAUCCAUCUAAAGGUGAGCUGUCGAUUUUCUUGUUGGAAUGUGGAUAUUCUAAUAAAAAAAGAAGCUGAAUAUUUCCUGAUUUUUAAAGAUGGCAACUAAUUUAAAACAGUAACACACUGUGUAGGCCAACACAAAAUGUAUUAGUAGGCCGGUUUCAACCCUGGGGCCACCACCUUGCAACGUCUGAAAUGAAGUAUUCACCAGCAACCCACAGGAAGGCUUGCUUUGGCUAAUCUAUGGUCAAGACAGAAACAAAUUUCAACACCGUGAAAACUGGGACUCAUUGGAGAUGGCAUAGAGGCAGAAAAGACUGAGCGAGUUGUGGAAAAGGCUGAGCAGGAAGAGGAAGCAGAAGAAUGGUAGAAGGAUGUUCAGUGAGAUGUUGCCAUGCAAGGGCAAGGUUAUUAGAGCUGCUGCAGCCAUCUUGUGACAAUAAAAGAGAACCAAGAGGAUUUCAGAAAUACCAUCCCACAUCCUGACAUUAUGUAGCUUCUGAACCAUCUAUCUCCAUGGAUCUUGCUAUGUGAGAUCAUCGGAAGAAACAAAAACAAGCUGUGGUGAAGAAGAAACGUUUUCUAAAGCCUCUUUUAUCCCCAGGAUGGUUGAGAAGUCAGAGGCCUGCAAUGCUAGGAAGAGAGGGUCUAAAGUGGAGGGAAAGAAGCACCCAAGAGCCUUCAUCUCUGUAGACCAGGAGUCCGAAAUGGAUGGUCUAUGCCUGUGCCACAUCCAGCCAGCAGGCAUUUACAUUUGGCUUGCAUAACGUUUAAAAUGAUUUGAAUCAGUUGCCAAAAACUAAAAGCCAGGAGAUUUUCAUGUAAAAAGAAAUCUAAAUUUUGGCUCUUCUUAAAAGAGGCCUAUGUUUUGGACCGGGAAGUCAUUGGACCCCAUUUCUCACACAGCAAGUGGAACUGGGUAGUGAUUGCCAGUUUACCACACGCAGGGUGGCUCCUAGAACAUACUUUCCCUGUGUGGGAAUUAGAAAGAAGCACUGCCUCUGCACAGGUGGAUUUUAAGGGUGCCCCAUUGGACAGGACACGGCCCAUGUGUAAUAGCUUUGCCACAAUUGCCACCAUCUCCUUGAGUCAGUUUACUCAUGUCUGAGCUUUCAGGCAUUUGAGUUUGUGACCCCUGCCAAAGCCUUUGGAGGAAGUAGCUGCCUGCAGCAUACAUCUUGAUGAAAGAGGGCUGGCCAGAGGGCUUUCUCUGAUUGCUUGCACACAGAGAUGGAGACACCAGCAUUUGUUUGACUUAGCUCCUGUGUUUUUCUGAGAACACAGCUGGAUAAUUUUGCAGGAAUUAUAUUCAUAGGCUAGGUCUCUGUAUCCUCAUGAUUCACUCUACUUCCUGAACCUCCACAAUCCCCCACCCCUGGCCGCAUGCUGAUUUGCCAUUUGUUCCUUUUUUCAGCUUAUGAGAGGAAGUGUCCAAGGAGAAUAUAGCAAGUUCUCUCCUAUGACACAGGGAUAUAACUCCUUUAACUUGAAGAGUUUGAGGCAGACUUCAUGAACCAUUUUUGAAUGAGCUGAUUCUAGUAUCUAUCUCUGUUGACAGCUUGCUCUUAUUAUACCCUUCCCCAAAGUGAACCCUGCAGCUACUGACAAUGGAUGAGGCCAAGGAGCUAAGGAGCCCCUCUGUGGCCUCAGCAUACCUGAAUAAUAGUCUCUCUGUGGCUCUCCAAGAACAGUGAGGUUUUCUUUUUUUCUUUUUUUUUUUUUUUUUUAGCACUGGAAUGACAAUCAUCAAAAUCAUUUACAAAAUGCAGUGUAAGUGAUGCUGUAUAAGGGGUGGUAAAAUGAAGUUAAUAUUAUACCAUUUGAUAGCUUAUAAACUGACUUAUAAUUAAGCAGUUGUAGGAUAAUUAAGUGUCUGUUUUGGCAGUAGCAUGGAUUUCAGAUUGGAAUUGAACACUGGCGUUGACACUAGUUAUUUGAACUGGACUAAUCAUUCAAUUCUGUGACCCUUAAUAGAAAAGUAGUUAAAUUAUAACAUGAAGGGUGAGACCUUAGAGUAGUUAAGAACUCAGGAGUCCUUUCUCCAUUCUAUCUUACUGGUUGGAUUCAGUAAACUUCAAAAUUCUCUACUCUUAAAAUGGAGGUAAAAAUCAUACCUUCCAAAUAGGAUUUUAUAUGAUUAAAUGAGAUAAUGCAUGUAUCUAACAUGUGAUAGGUACACAGUACUGCUGGCAUUGGAGUGCUCAGCUGGUAUAAAGUAGGUUUUCAAAAAUAUUGGUUUCCUCCAUCUUUCUUGGGUCUUACUGCUUUGGUGCUAAAAAUUUUAGCAAAUACGAGGAACUAAAGAUUGCUUUGCUCAAUAAAUAUUUAACAAAUUGCUUUUUACAGUGAAAAGUGUAUAUAUGUAUGAAAAUCAAGCUGCUUAGUUUAAAGGUGUGACUCCUUAACUAGGGCAGUUUAUGUGGAGAGUUAAAAAUAAUUUUAGAGUUUCAAAUACUGCAGGAUAAUGUAAUGGUUAAAACAAAAAUAAGAAAAUAUCUUUAAUAAUGCAAGUUACUGCCUGUUCCCUUUAGGAAUGAGUUCCUGGCUACAGAAGUCUUUAUCUAGACACCCAGAUCAAGCAGAAUACAAAGGUCACAAUGCCAAUUUCAUCUGAAACUUGUUUUGCAGUGCUUGAGUCUUGGUUUUUAGGAAAAGACUUGUGGUUGCUAUGGAACUGUUAAUAAUGAUUGCUGCCUGUAUCUCAAUUCUUCAUACUCCCAAUCUUCAAUAUAAAAUCACUUAGAUUUGGGCUCCAGGGCAGUAAACACACUUUUGAGCAGGAAUUAACUGGACUUGGGCAUUAGUGUCUUAAUGUAGGAAAUGACUUUCAUUAUAACCUUUACUUAUACUGGCAGUUAGGCUAUGUUAAGGUUUCCUAAUAGUGGGCUUAAUCGCAUGAGUGUCAAACUUUGCUCUUCUGGGUGAGCACUGCUAAAAGCAGAAACAUUUUGGGUUUUCAUCAGACAAUAAAUAUCAGAAGUCCUUGUUUUGUACAGAACUAGUCUUAGUGAGAGUAUUUUGUUUUCACAUAUAAAAAGAACCAGUAAUUCAGCCACAUACUGGAUUCCUAAGCAGAAAGAAGAAAAUAUUCCUGUUGAAAUAUAUACCUAUUUACUUUUAAAAGAAAUCUCACAGAAAAAUGACUUCUUUUUUGCUAUAUUUCUGUGAGAUUUGUGACCCAUGUAAUAGAUGCUUACAUCUAUUACAAUAGACCCAUGUAAUAACUCUAAAAUUCUUACUCCUGAAUUAUAUUUGUAAGAUAUGGAUAUCAGUCCUUAUUAAUGUAUAACCGAUCUUUGGGGAAAACUAAUCCAGUUCUUGAGCUCCAGGCAUAGAAAGUUAGGAAUGGGUUGUUGGAUGGGUGGGGAGAAGACAUAUCUAAUUUGGGGACGUUGCUGCCUCACCAGUUUGCAAGAAUAAUACGAAUAAAUCGCUUCAAUUUCCACAACUGUUUCUCUCUCUAAUCCCUACAGUGUGUGAUUUUCAACAAUUAUCUGGCCUUAUUCUCUGUUUUAUUGCUUAGGAUUUUAAUGCUUCAAAUGUGGAACAUAGAAUAAAUGUGAUUGCCAGUGAAACUUUAAAAAAAUGCUCAAGUGCAGUUUUCAGCUGACAUACAGCUAGUUUCCAACUUCUCAGCUGCAAGAAGUAACAACUCCAUAAAGGUUAAACAGGCUUGCUUUGGGCCCUGAGUAAAAUUAAGUCUUCUACCAACUCUAUGGCACUGCAGAAGACAAAGGAUUAUCUGUAUGAAUAAACUGAAUUUACAGGUCAAUACAUUCAUGUUUGCAGGACUAUUUAAAGUAUUAGAAGUUCUGAUAUAAUACAAGAAAAAUGCAGAUGUAACUAUCAAACUCAUCAAGCUGCUGCAGUAAAUUCAGAUACUCUCCAAGGCUGGCAAGGUGAUGUCAAAAAAGUUAAACUUGAAAAAUGAGACUUAGAUUUCUAAAUGAGAUCGGUUGGGGGAAGCAGAGUUAAUAGGGGAAAUCAAGACUGAAACAAUCAACAUUACUGCUACGUUUGGAGGACAGUUUAAAAAUCAAUUCUUUCUGCUUGUUCUAAAACUGUUCUGCCAAAGAAACUGACAUUGUUUCAUGCUUUUUAUUUUUCGGUUUAUUUAAUCUUCUUUAACACAGCCAUUGUUGGUUCAACAAUCCAAUAUUUGAGGUUACAU